rnacentral:rRNA from 1 species
UGGGGAAUAUUGCACAAUGGGCGCAAGCCUGAUGCAGCGACGCCGCGUGAGGGAUGACGGCCUUCGGGUUGUAAACCUCUUUCAGCUCCGACGAAGCGCAAGUGACGGUAGGGGUAGAAGAAGGACCGGCCAACUACGUGCCAGCAGCCGCGGUAAUACGUAGGGUCCGAGCGUUGUCCGGAAUUACUGGGCGUAAAGAGCUCGUAGGUGGUUUGUCGCGUUGUUCGUGAAAACUCACAGCUCAACUGUGGGCGUGCGGGCGAUACGGGCAGACUUGAGUACUGCAGGGGAGACUGGAAUUCCUGGUGUAGCGGUGGAAUGCGCAGAUAUCAGGAGGAACACCGGUGGCGAAGGCGGGUCUCUGGGCAGUAACUGACGCUGAGGAGCGAAAGCGUGGGGAGCGAACAGGAUUAGAUACCCUGGUAGUCCACGCCGUAAACGGUGGGUACUAGGUGUGGGUUUCCUUCCUUGGGAUCCGUGCCGUAGCUAACGCAUUAAGUA